AGCUAUUUUUACGAAAAACUCCGAAUCUGAUCAAACGAGCCAUUGGCGAUAUUCUGAAGUAUUAUAACCUGUGUCGGCAUUCAGCCAAUUGGCGAAUAUUUUUGAUUUGAAUUUGUAAACAACCGUCGGUGUUCUGAUGUCAACGUUCUUCGUAAAAUUUGUAUUUAUUCUACAAAUGUUACAAAUGUCAGCAUUAAUUUAAUUCUUAGUGUUAUGAAUAAUUGCAUAUGAGUGCUGUGUACCAAACUGCAGAGGAUUUUACAAAGUUGAUGGUACAAAAGUAUUAAAUUUUGGAUUUCCCAAUACGUAAGAAAUGGCUUGCCGCCAUGCCAAGAGAUUUUGAAGUUGCAAAGAAUUCUAAAGUAUGUGAGAUGCAUUUCAAGGAAAAUGACAUUA
rnacentral:lncRNA from 1 species